rnacentral:rRNA from 1 species
GGAUGAACGCUGGCGGCAUGUUUAAGGCAUGCAAGUCGAAUGGGUUUAGACCCAUGGCAAACGGGUGAGUAACACAUUGGUAACCUGCCUCGAAGUUCAGCAUAACCCUCCGAAAGGAGGGAUAAUACUGGAUGUGUUCAAUUGUCUUAUGGCAAUUGAGUAAAGAUUUAUCGCUUCGAGAGGGACCUAUGGCCUAUCAGCUUGUUGGUGGUGUAAUGGACUACCAAGGCUAUGACGGGUAGCGGGUGUGAGAGCACGACCCGCCUCACUGGGACUGAGACACUGCCCAGACUCCUACGGGAGGCUGCAGUCAAGAAUCUUCCACAAUGGACGAAAGUCUGAUGGAGCGAUGCUGCGUGAUCGAUGAAGCCCCUAGGGGUGUAAAGAUCUUUUAUUAGGGAAGAACUAUGACGGUACCUAAUGAAUAAGGGGUUGCUAACUCUGUGCCAGCAGCAGCGGUAAUACAGAGACCCCGAGCGUUAUCCGGAUUUAUUGGGCGUAAAGCGUGCGCAGACGGUUUUUUAAGUCCGUGGUUAAAUCUUGGUGCUUAACAUCAAGACUGUCAUGGAAACUAUUAAACUAGAGGAUGGAAGAGGUCAACGGAAUUGCCAGUGUAACGGUAAAAUGUGUUAAUAUUGGCAAGAACACCAGAUGCGAAGGCGGUUGACUGGUACAAUCCUGACGUUGUUGCACGAAAGCGUGGGGAGCGAAUGGGAUUAGAUACCCCAGUAGUCCACGCCGUAAACGAUGAAUACUAGUCAUUGGCAGUAUCGACCCUGCCAGUGGCGUCUAAAAAAGCUAACGCAUUAAGUAUUCCGCCUGGGAAGUACGAUCGCAAGAUUAAAACUCAAAGGAAUUGACGGGGGCCCGCACAAGCGGUGGAUCAUGUGGUUUAAUUCGACGAUAAGCGGAAAACCUUACCCAGACUUGACAUAUAGCUGCAAAUCUCCAGAAACGGAGACUCCUUCGAGGGUGCUAUACAGGUGCUGCAUGGUUGUCGUCAGCUCGUGCCGUGAGGUGUAGCCUUAAGUGGUUUAACGAGCGCAACCCUCAUCCUAUGUUAAAUAUUCAUAGGAAACUGCCCUGCUCAACAGGGAGGAAGGUGAGGAUGACGUCAAAUCAGCAUGGCUCUUACGUCUGGGGCCACACACGUGAUACAAUGGCCGGUACAAAGGGUUGCUAAGUCGCAAGGCGGAGCUAAUCCCAUCAAAACCGGUCUCAGUUCGGAUUGAGGUCUGAAAUUCGACCUCAUGAAGUUGGAAUCGCUAGUAACCGUGAAUCAGCACGUCACGGUGAAUACGUUCUCGGGCCUUGUACUCACCGCCCGUCAAG